CGGCUAGAUCAUAUUGAAACCCCGGUUUUCGUACAAUCACUGAAGUUAAGCAACGUCAACCUGGUAGUAUUUAGAUGGGUGACCGCUUGGGAAUACCAGGUGCUGUAAG